CAUGUCCUUUUGAUUUUAAUUUAAGGUCUAAUCUGCUCAAUGAAUAUUAAAUAGCCGCAGUAUUUUAACUGUGCAAAGGUAGCAUAAUAAUUAGUUUCUUGAUUAGGAACUGGAAUGAAUGAUUGGACAAGAAAAUUGCUGUCUCUUUUUUAAAUUUUUUGAAUUUUAUUUUUAAGUGAAAAAGCUUAAAUUUUUAUAGAAGACGAGAAGACCCUAUAGAGUUUAAUAUUAUUUUACAAUCUGAAUUUAGAAUUAAUUUUUGUAUAAUUUUAUUUGGUUGGGGUGAUUUAAGGAUUAAAUAAAUUCUUUAAUUUAUUAAUUGAUGAUAUUUAAAUUUUAAAUCUAUAUUUUAUAAAUAUAAAAUAAAUUACCUUAGGGAUAACAGCGUAAUUUUUCUUUAAAGUUCACAUUAAAAGAAAAGUUUGCGACCUCGAUGUUGGAUUAAAAUUAAUUUUUGGUGCAAUAAUUUAAAAAUUAGGUCUGUUCGACCUUUAAAAUUUUACAUGAUCUGAGUUUAAACCGGUGUGAGCCAGGUUGGAUUCUAUCUUUAGAAAAUUAAUAUAUUUUAGUACGAAAGGACCAAGUAUAUAUUAAAUUAAUU
rnacentral:rRNA from 3 species